GCCCAGGAGGGGCAGCAGCCCCACGCCCAGGCACAGCAGCCACAUCAGCAGCACCAUGGCGCAGGUGAAGCCCAGCGUGCGCUCGCUGUGUCCUUCCAGCCCUUGGUGCGAAGCCUCAUUCCUCGGUGAGCAUCGCUAAUAGCGUUGGCAGAGAGCUGGCAUCGACUUGCACUUAAUAUUCCUGCCCCAUUGGAUCUGCUGAUAAAUCUCAACUCUGACGUCAAAGUCUUCACUUA